UACGGGGGAGCAAGCGUUGUUCGGAUUACUGGGCGUAAAGGCGCGUAGGCGGCCACCGCAAGUCGACUGUGAAAUCUCCGGGCUUAACCCGGAAAGGUCAGCCGAUACUGCGGGGCUAGAGUGCAGAAGGGGCAACUGGAAUUCUCGGUGUAGCGGUGAAUGCGUAGAUAUCGAGAGGAACACCUGCGGCGAAGGCGGGUUGCUGGGCUGACACGUGACGCUGAGGCGCGAAAGCUAGGGGAGCGAACGGG
rnacentral:rRNA from 1 species